rnacentral:rRNA from 1 species
AACGAACGCUGGCGGCGUGGAUAAGACAUGCAAGUCGAGCGAUUAUCACGGGGUAGCAAUAUUCUGUGGUGAGAGCGGCGCAAGGGUGCGUAACACGUGGGCAAUCUGCCAUGAAGUUUGGGAUAACUCGCUGAAAGGCGAGCUAAUACCGGAUGUGACUGUUGGGAGGCAUCUUCUGACAGUUAAAGCUGGGGACCGUAAGGCCUGGCGCUUCUUGAUGAGCCCGCGGCCUAUCAGCUAGUUGGUGAGGUAACGGCUCACCAAGGCUAAGACGGGUAGCUGGUCUGAGAGGACGACCAGCCACACUGGAACUGAGACACGGUCCAGACACCUACGGGUGGCAG